AGCAACCCGUUCUCAUCAGUCUGCGUAUAAAUAACACGACUUUACACUUUCUAUUUGCGUGUAAUGCAUACGCCAAAUGCCAUUUUUGCGUGCAUAUGAUACGCCAAUCCUUCCCAUUAAUUUCGGUGGAGAGCAGAUGCGUCCAAAUAACACGCAUCAUCUUCAGCGGCAGUGACGUCACCAGCGAGGCUCGUUCAGUUCACCUGAUGCGCGUACACCUUCAAACAGGUAAGCAAGGUUACGUCGGAUUACAUACUCCACAACAACCUGUAAUCCAGCAGAUCUUUAAAGAAGCCAUCUCUUGUAAAAUCUCUCUCUCGCUCUCUCGCUCUGCUAGAAUUAACAGGGAACUUCAACUCCACGCUCCCAAUGCUGAUAUUGAAGAAGUUGUCAAGGGGGCUGAACAAGUCCUUCAAAGGAUCAACCCUUCACAGGAAGGCCUGUCAUGAGAUUUGAAUUUGACCAUCUUGUGCAUUUAUGAAGAAGACCAAAAGCUGCAAAGGCAAACACUUCCAAUGGAUUUCUCACAGAUUACUUAAUCAUUCUUCAUCAGCUCUUCACAAUAUCAGCCCAUUCAAAAGCUUCCAGAUCUUCCUCUCUUGUGUGACACAUCUGCUCUCAGUCCUUUACUGCCAACCUCCAGUCUUAGCAUUUCUGCUUGUAUUAAUUUUUCCUAUACAUUCAUCACUCCAAUCUCUACUAUAAGCACUC